rnacentral:tRNA from 1 species
GCCGGCUUAGCUCAGUUGGUAGAGCACCUGAUUUGUAAUCAGGGGGUCGGGGGUUCGAACCCUCCAGCCGGCACCA